rnacentral:rRNA from 1 species
GAUGAACGCUGGCGGCGUGCCUAAUACAUGCAAGUCGAACGAGGUGCUUUUGUAGCAAUACGAGAGUAUCCUAGUGGCGAACGGGUGAGUAACGCGUUGGUGACCUACCCCAAAGUGUGGGAUAACAGUCCGAAAGGAUUGCUAAUACCGCAUGUGGUCUUCGGAUUUAGAAACUGAUGACUAAAGGAGCAAUUCGCUUUGGGAGGGACCUGCGUCCCAUCAGCUAGUUGGUGAGGUAAUGGCUCACCAAGGCUACGACGGGUAGGGGACCUGAGAGGGUGACCCCCCCACAAUGGAACUGAAACACGGUCCAUACACCUACGGGUGGCAGCAGUAGGGAAUAUUGCACAAUGGGCGAAAGCCUGAUGCAGCAACGCCGCGUGUGCGAUGAAGGCCUUCGGGUCGUAAAGCACUUUUACUGGGAGAUGAGCAAGGACAGUAUCUCAGGAAUAAGUCUCGGCUAACUACGUGCCAGCAG